GACAGAGGGGGCAAGCGUUGCUCGGAAUUACUGGGCGUAAAGGGCGCGUAGGCGGAAUGGCAAGUCGGUCGUGAAAUCCUUCGGCUCAACCGAAGAACGUCGAUCGAAACUGCCGUUCUUGAGGAUUGCAGAGGAGACUGGAAUUCCCGGUGUAGCGGUGAAAUGUGUAGAUAUCGAGAGGAACACCUGCGGCGAAGGCGGGUUGCUGGGCUGACACUGACGCUGAUUGUGCGAAAGCUAGGGGAGCGAACGGG
rnacentral:rRNA from 1 species